rnacentral:miRNA from 1 species
AGCAUAGAAUGUCAGGUCUAG